UACGUAGGGUGCGAGCGUGGUCCGGAAUUAUUGGGCGUAAAGAGCUCGUAGGCGGUCUGUCGCGUCGGUCGUGAAAACUUGGGGCUUAACCCUGAGCUUGCGGUCGAUACGGGCAUGACUGGAGUUCGGCAGGGGAGACUGGAAUUCCUGGUGUAGCGGUGAAAUGCGCAGAUAUCAGGAGGAACACCGGUGGCGAAGGCGGGUCUCUGGGCCAACACUGACGCUCAUGCACGAAAGCGUGGGGAGCAAACAGG
rnacentral:rRNA from 1 species